GUUUCGGUGGUUAUAGCGGUGGGGAAACACCCGGUCCCAUUCCGAACCCGGUAGUUAAGCCCGCCAGCGCCGAUGGUACUGCACUGGUGACGGUGUGGGAGAGUAGGUCGCCGCCGGACG
rnacentral:rRNA from 1 species